GGGAGGGGGCCGGACUGCUCGGGGUGAGGCUGGGCAUCGGUCAGCGAGUGAUGGAAAACAGUCCAUAAGAACGUUGGAAGAGCAGCAGCAGAUGUGAUUGCAAGACAACCAUUUAUUCUGAGGCCUGGAUCUGCUUUGCUGAAUGGUCUAGUAAUGCUGUAUAUUCCACAUGAAUUUUGGGGGUGACACUCAGGAAUAACUGUGGGAGUCACAAUGUUCUCAAAUUAUGUUAAGAUUUAUUUAAAAAUACCAUGUAGCAAGACACACAAGAACUAGAGUGGUUCAGUGUGACAUUGAGUCUGGAAGGUAUCAUUCCACUUUUUCAAAGCUUUUGUUCUCUAGAAUAAAUUUGAGCAAUGGGCUAUGGUAGCUGAUUCAUUUUAUUUAAAAAUACAGUCAUUUUAAGAAAAAUCUGUUCAAAUAUGCAGUGUAUGAAGGUUGAUUAAUUCAAGAUGUUUGAAUUUAGGCAUUCAUUUAGAUGUAGUAGCCCUGUAAUUAGGAUCACACAGGGUGUAAUUUGUCUUUGAUUAAGUAUGUACUCAAUUAAAAAAAUCUCAUGAAUAAUGAUGUGCACAUGGGAAAAAAAUCCACAUAUUUUUUCUUAUAUUCAGAUAUUUUAAACCAAAUAAAACUAUCUAACUUAAUUAUGUGGAACUCUAGUUAAGGCAUUUAUUUUUUCUUGCAUAUUCUUUGUAAGACUGAAAAAAGUAUGGCACAAAUAUGGAAUUUGAAAAGUUUUGUGUAAAAAUAUCACAUAUUUUCUAACCACUAGGUAUGUGUUUAAAUCAGAACAGCUAGAUCCUGAUCCAGAUCCAAUUAGUAGUAGUGGCAGUUGGAGAAUUUUCCAGCUAAAUCAUUAAAUCAAAUGAGUUAAAUCAAA